CACUGUUAUAGAUUGAAUAGCAGUUAGUUGUCUCAAAGCGGGUGUGUCAGGCUCACAGUGGAUACUGUGCCCAGUGCCACCACUCACUCACUGGUGUCACAAUAGCUUGCAUUUAAAAACAAAAAAAAGUUUUUCACUGUUAUAGACUGAAUAGCAGUUAGUUGUCUCAAAGCGGUUGUGUCAGCCCUACAGCGUGUACUCUGCCAGUUCACAGUGCCACUCUUAUCUGGUGUCACAAUAG